rnacentral:lncRNA from 1 species
GGCACCUCAGUGUCCACCCUUCUCACCUUGUGUCUGGAGGCAACAGCUCCUCUCGGCAGCCUGAUGUGGCAGGAGUCCUGGACAGGGACAGCAAAGAUGGCAAGCUGUGCACUUGAACUUCAGAAAACUCCUUCUGGACAAGCUCUGUGGCAAGUGAGAGAAGAGUAUAUUCAGGUGGUCAGAGUUCUUCCAGAAUCCUAAGAGCAUUCUCAACACUAGCCCAGGCCUGCUGUACUUCAACAUGAAGCCCCACUCCACACCCCAGCCCUGGAGUGUCCUAAAACUGAGGAGAGGAAGAGUGAAAGAGACCAUACCUCCUGCCCUCUACAGUCUCCUGAGCAAGGACACACAGUUCCAUAACUCUGCUGUGGAUUGAAAGAAGACUACAUCCCAGCUCUGCUCU